UGCGAAGGGGGCUAGCGUUGCUCGGAAUCACUGGGCGUAAAGGGUGCGUAGGCGGGUUUUUAAGUCAGAGGUGAAAUCCUGGAGCUCAACUCCAGAACUGCCUUUGAUACUGAAAGUCUUGAGUAUGGGAGAGGUGAGUGGAACUGCGAGUGUAGAGGUGAAAUUCGUAGAUAUUCGCAAGAACACCAGUGGCGAAGGCGGCUCACUGGCCCAUUACUGACGCUGAGGCACGAAAGCGUGGGGAGCAAACAGG
rnacentral:rRNA from 1 species